UAUGUACUCCCUCCGUUCAGAAUUACUUGUCUUGGAAAUGGAUGUAUCUAGAACUAAAAUACAUCUAGAUACAUCCAUUUCUGCGACAAGUAAUUCCGAACGGAGGGAGUACAUC
rnacentral:pre_miRNA from 1 species